GUCUCCUCGGAGACAUCCGAUAGAAUUAGAGCGAUAUAGAGAAGAUUAGCAUGGCCUUAGCAUGCGUGGAUGACACACACAAUUGAGAAAUGGUUCCUUUUUUU